UGGACAGGCUGCUCUGGGGAAUGAAAUGCUUUGUUUCACCACAGAACAGGUACAGCACAGGGGUUGCCCAAGGCAAGCAGUUAAGCUGCUUGUCAUGUGCCUCAGCUAGAGUGGAUGGGCCAUCUCUAGGGUAAUAGAUGUGGCUUAGUUUUCAUUCCCAUCAGUCCAUGUCCUCU
rnacentral:sRNA from 1 species